AACGCGAAGAACCUUACCGGGGCUUGACAUCUGCGGAAAUCCCAUGAAAGUGGGCUUCGGGGCAACCCGACCGCAAGACAGGUGCUGCAUGGCUGUCGUCAGCUCGUGCCGUGAGGUGUUGGGUUAAGUCCCGCAACGAGCGCAACCCUUGUCGUGUGUUGGUCCACAAGAUCUCUCACACGAGACCGCCGGUGAGAAGCCGGAGGAAGGUGGGGAUGACGUCAAGUCAGCAUGGCCCUUACGUCCCGGGCUACACACGUGCUACAAUGCGCGCGACAGCGAGCCGCAAACUUGUGAAAGUAAGCCAAUCUCUGAAACGCGCGCUCAGUUCGGAUUGAAGGCUGCAACUCGCCUUCAUGAAGUCGGAAUCGCUAGUAAACGCAGAUCAGCUACGCUGCGUUGAAUACGUUCCCGGGCCUUGUACACACCGUAGUAC
rnacentral:rRNA from 1 species